GCAUUUGAAUACUUUUUAAAUCUGAGACAACCACAAGAGGAUGAUAAGCACACCAAAAAUGACAUAGGGUGAAAUAGUCAAGAAGGAUUCAGCAUCACUAGUUAAUAUACCUUAUAAAAAAUGUAGCCUUAAACUGAGCAAAAGUGCAAAACGGAGGAAAAGAAGGCCUUUCUAAACAAUCCCAACUAGAUUAGGAUGAGCAAUUUGGAGCCAACAAAUGGCAUUUGGGAUCCCAACUACUUGCUGG
rnacentral:misc_RNA from 1 species